UACGGAGGGUGCGAGCGUUGUCCGGAAUCAUUGGGCGUAAAGGGCGCGUAGGUGGCCCGGUCAGUUCGUGGUGAAAGCGCGGGGCUCAACCCUGCGUCGGCCAUGAAUACUGCCGCGGCUGAAGCACUGUAGAGGCAGGCGGAAUUCCGGGUGUAGCGGUGGAAUGCGUAGAGAUCCGGAAGAACACCGGUGGCGAAGGCGGCCUGCUGGGCAGUUGCUGACACUGAGGCGCGACAGCGUGGGGAGCAAACAGG
rnacentral:rRNA from 1 species